rnacentral:rRNA from 1 species
CUCCGGUGAUCCCGCCGGACCCGACUGCUAUCAGAGUGGGACUAAGCCAUGCGAGUCAACAUAGCAAUAUGUGGCAUACGGCUCAGUAACACGUAGUCAACAUGCCCAGGGGACGUGGAUAACCUCGGGAAACUGAGGAUAAACCGCGAUAGGUCAUCACUUCUGGAAUGGGUAAUGACUUAAAUCUAUAUGGCCCCUGGAUUGGACUGCGGCCGAUCAGGCUGUUGGUGAGGUAAUGGCCCACCAAACCUGUAACCGGUACGGGCUCUGAGAGGAGGAGCCCGGAGAUGGGCACUGAGACAAGGGCCCAGGCCCUAUGGGGCGCAGCAGGCGCGAAACCUCUGCAAUAGGCGAAAGCUUGACAGGGUUACUCUGAGUGAUUUCCGUUAAGGAGAUCUUUUGGCACCCCUAAAAAUGGUGCAGAAUAAGGGGUGGGCAAGUCUGGUGUCAGCCGCCGCGGUAAUACCAGCACCCCGAGUGGUCGGGACGUUUAUUGGGCCUAAAGCAUCCGUAGCCGGUUCUACAAGUCUUCCGUUAAAUCCACCUGCUUAACAGAUGGGCUGCGGAAGAUACUAUAGAGCUAGGAGGCGGGAGAGGCAAGCGGUACUCGAUGGGUAGGGGUAAAAUCCGUUGAUCCAUUGAAGACCACCAGUGGCGAAGGCGGCUUGCCAGAACGCGCUCGACGGUGAGGGAUGAAAGCUGGGGGAGCAAACCGGAUUAGAUACCCGGGUAGUCCCAGCUGUAAACGAUGCAGACUCGGUGAUGAGUUGGCUUAUUGCUAACUCAGUGCCGCAGGGAAGCCGUUAAGUUUGCCGCCUGGGGAGUACGGUCGCAAGACUGAAACUUAAAGGAAUGGCGGGGGAGCA